rnacentral:rRNA from 1 species
UUUGGUUCGGGACAACUCUGGGAAACUGGAGCUAAUACCGGAUACGCCCUUUUGGGGAAAGGUUUACUGCCGAAGGAUCGGCCCGCGUCUGAUUAGCUAGUUGGUGGGGUAACGGCCUACCAAGGCGACGAUCAGUAGCUGGUCUGAGAGGAUGAUCAGCCACACUGGGACUGAGACACGGCCCAGACUCCUACGGGAGGCAGCAGUGGGGAAUAUUGGACAAUGGGCGCAAGCCUGAUCCAGCCAUGCCGCGUGAGUGAUGAAGGCCUUAGGGUUGUAAAGCUCUUUUAUCCGGGACGAUAAUGACGGUACCGGAGGAAUAAGCCCCGGCUAACUUCGUGCCAGCAGCCGCGGUAAUACGAAGGGGGCUAGCGUUGCUCGGAAUCACUGGGCGUAAAGGGCGCGUAGGCGGCGUUUUAAGUCGGGGGUGAAAGCCUGUGGCUCAACCACAGAAUGGCCUUCGAUACUGGGACGCUUGAGUCUGGUAGAGGUUGGUGGAACUGCGAGUGUAGAGGUGAAAUUCGUAGAUAUUCGCAAGAA